UAAAAUAAACAAUUUACUUAGCAAAUGGUGAUAAUGUUUGUUAAUGAAAGAGAGUACGGGACAAAUUAACAUUUAAACCUUAAACUAGCAGCGCACGUCACUUUCUGAAUGAGGUGCGCGACGUGCGCGUGCCCGUCAUUUUGUAACGGUCAACUUCCAGCGGACGGACACGGAGGAAAGGUAAGUCCUAUAAAUCUACUUUUAUUCAUAGAUUUUAACUGAUAUAACGUUAAAUGCCAUCAAAGAGGAGUAGUGUUUUGUAUUUUUGUAGGUUUUCUCUUUCAAUUUAAUAAAUAAAUGCUCUGUUUGGUUAAUUAGCUCAAAAGCAGUCUCAGAGGUGGUCUAAGGUAACGGUAACUGUUAAAAUCGAAUAUAACCUUACCUAGUUUAAAUUAUUUGAAAUUUAUCACUAUAAACUAUACAGUGUUAACUUUCUAAUAAUUUAAUUUUUAACCGUAGUAACGUUAAUUAGUUUGUUUGAAUGCCUGCUGCUCGAGCUUGAUGAUGCUCAUGCUAUCCAUGCUGUGAACUUGAAUAUAAACCGAUAGAACGUUAAAUAUAAAGUUUAACGUUAAUUAGACCGAGGCUGCCGAAAUCAUGUUCAGUGUAACGUUAUGUGGGAUUAAUAAUUUCCCCUUUUCUCCCUCAAGUGGCAGGCUUGUAAAUUCUGUCAUCUGUUCAUUAUUGGUGUUGAUGGUGUUUUUCACAUGCAUGCUUUUUAAUGCUAGUUUAAUUCUCAAAUUGAUCUGAUACUUUCGUUCCACAAAAAGUAAACACAUUUUUCACUUUCUUAGGGCCUGACAACCACCAGUUGAGUCCAUGAUUCAGGGAAGAGACAGUCUGGGCAGCAGCAACAAGACAACUAUUACAAGUAGAGAUGGGUUUCAAGAACUGACACAACCACAUAUCCUCCAAAUCAUCUCUGCGUGGAUGGCAGCAAGGAUCCAGGAUCAAGAGAUCAUUCAUCAUGGAGACUGUUCCACAGGAAGCAGUUUCUCCUGGGUGAAAAACUAAACCUGGUUGUUUCAGCAUCACUCAGGCAAGACUUAAUACUUUUAAAUUGAUUUCAGUUGGUUAUGUGUUUCAGGUCAUCCUGACCAUUCUGCUGUUCUGGAUGUAAGGCCGUGCUGCAACUACAUUUCUCGUGGUUGAAAGAUUUGUGGAGCGGUAUCCAGACAUAUAACGCCCCAUCACACGGGGCGUCAACGCCUCUCGUUUACU